CACGUAGGGCGCGAGCGUUGUCCGGAAUUAUUGGGCGUAAAGCGCUCGUAGGCGGCCUGUUGCGUCCGCUGUGAAAGCCCGGGGCUUAACCCCGGGUCGGCAGUGGAUACGGGCAGGCUAGAGGUAGGUAGGGGAGAAUGGAAUUCCCGGUGUAGCGGUGAAAUGCGCAGAUAUCGGGAGGAACACCGGUGGCGAAGGCGGGUCUCUGGGCCUUACCUGACGCUGAGGAGCGAAAGCGUGGGGAGCGAACAGG
rnacentral:rRNA from 1 species